rnacentral:rRNA from 1 species
UGGGGAAUUUUGGACAAUGGGCGAAAGCCUGAUCCAGCAAUGCCGCGUGUGUGAAGAAGGCCUUCGGGUUGUAGAGCACUUUUGUCCGGAAAGAAAUCCUUGGCUCUAAUACAGUCGGGGGAUGACGGUACCGGAAGAAUAAGCACCGGCUAACUACGUGCCAGCAGCCGCGGUAAUACGUAGGGUGCAAGCGUUAAUCGGAAUUACUGGGCGUAAAGCGUGCGCAGGCGGUUUGCUAAGACCGAUGUGAAAUCCCCGGGCUCAACCUGGGAACUGCGUUGGUGACUGGCAGGCUAGAGUAUGGCAGAGGGGGGUAGAAUUCCACGUGUAGCAGUGAAAUGCGUAGAGAUGUGGAGGAAUACCGAUGGCGAAGGCAGCCCCCUGGGCCAAUACUGACGCUCAUGCACGAAAGCGUGGGGAGCAAACAGGAUUAGAUACCCUGGUAGUCCACGCCCUAAACGAUGUCAACUAGUUGUUGGGGAUUCAUUUCCUUAGUAACGUAGCUAACGCGUGAAGUUGACCGCCUGGGGAGUACGGUCGCAAGAUUAAAACUCAAAUGAAUUGACGGGGUCAUAGCUGUUUCCU